rnacentral:rRNA from 1 species
UACGAAGGAUCCAAGCGUUGUCCGGAUUUACUGGGUUUAAAGGGUGCGUAGGCGGUCUUUUAAGUCAGUGGUGAAAGCUCGCAGCUUAACUGUGAAAUUGCCAUUGAAACUGAAAGUCUCGAGUGUGGUUGAGGUAACUGGAAUAUAUCAUGUAGCGGUGAAAUGCUUAGAUAUGAUAUAGAACACCAAUUGCGAAGGCAGGUUACUGAGCCACAACUGACGCUGAGGCACGAAAGCGUGGGGAUCAAACAGG